rnacentral:lncRNA from 1 species
CCCAGGCCGACUUGGUCUAGCUGGAGGCUUGGUGCCUGGGCCCUAGGAAGCCUGUAUGGGGGCUGCAGCUGAGCUGCUGUCCUGAGGGCAGAGGCCCACAGCAGACUAUACAUCAGGGAGAGAUUAAACACAGCCUUAGACUCUGGAACAAUGAAAUCCAAUACUCACACAGUCUACAGAAGAUCCAGGUGAGCAUGCCUUUUCCUGAGAUGACUGCAGCAAAGCUGCGCCCCCUGGUGGUCAGCCUAUUCAUGCGCCUUCUGCAAAGAAGAGCUCCCUAGAUGAGGUCAGUUAACAGUUUGUUCCUGUUGGUGUGUAAUAGCUGGGUUUCAAAUCCAGCUGAUGUUGUGAACACCAUGAUGCCUCACUUAGCAGUUCCAAAUUCAGCGUUAAGGGUUCCAUAACACUGAACUAACUACUCCUUAAAAUGAUCUAAACCUGGUAACUGAUUACAUGCCUGAGGUUAGGUUACCUCAAAAGGCAAUGUGACAUCAGUAACACAUCAGAAAGCCAAACAGAGCUCUUCUGGGCUUCUGGGAGGAACCAAGUUCAGUUAGGUACCACGACAUUCGACUAAAAUAGAGUUCCCUGUAGUCUGCCCCAGCUCAACUUCAUGAGGAAAUAGAAAGUUCGGAGGCUGAGACAAGGCAAAAUCCAUGUCCUCCAGAGUUUCACA